rnacentral:rRNA from 1 species
GAUGAACGCUGGCGGUGUGCCUAAUACAUGCAAGUCGUACGCAUUCUCGUUUCUGAUUGACGGUGCUUGCACCUAAUUGACGAGACAUUGGAAUGAGUGGCGGACGGGUGAGUAACACGUGGGUAACCUGCCCAGAAGCGGGGGAUAACAUUUGGAAACAGAUGCUGAUACCGCAUAAAAGUCAAAACCACAUGGUUUUGAUUUGAAAGAUGGCCUUUGUGCUAUCACUUAUGGAUGGACCCGCGGCGUAUUAGCUAGUUGGUAAGGUAACGGCUUACCAAGGCAAUGAUACGUGGCCGAACUGAGAGGUUGAUCGGCCACAAUGGGACUGAGACACGGCCCAUACUCCUACGGGAGGCAGCAGUAGGGAAUCUUCCACAAUGGGCGCAAGCCUGAUGGAGCAACACCGCGUGAGUGAAGAAGGGUUUCGGCUCGUAAAACUCUGUUGUUAAAGAAGAACGUAUCUAAGAGUAACUGCUUAGGUAGUGACGAUAUUUAACCAGAAAGCCACGGCUAACUACGUGCCAGCCGCCGCCGUAA